rnacentral:rRNA from 1 species
GACGAACGCUGGCGGCGUGCUUAACACAUGCAAGUCGAACGAAGAGCGUUGGAAGCUUGCUUCUAUCAAUCUUAGUGGCGAACGGGUGAGUAACGCGUAAUCAACCUGCCCUUCAGAGGGGGACAACAGUUGGAAACGACUGCUAAUACCGCAUACGGUCUAAUCUCGGCAUCGAGGAUAGAUGAAAGGUGGCCUCUACAUGUAAGCUAUCACUGAAGGAGGGGAUUGCGUCUGAUUAGCUAGUUGGAGGGGUAACGGCCCACCAAGGCGAUGAUCAGUAGCCGGUCUGAGAGGAUGAACGGCCACAUUGGGACUGAGACACGGCCCAGACUCCUACGGGAGGCAGCAGUGGGGAAUCUUCCGCAAUGGACGAAAGUCUGACGGAGCAACGCCGCGUGAGUGAUGACGGCCUUCGGGUUGUAAAGCUCUGUUAAUCGGGACGAAAGGCCUUCUUGCGAAUAGUGAGAAGGAUUGACGGUACCGGAAUAGAAAGCCACGGCUAACUACGUG